rnacentral:rRNA from 1 species
UCGAGAAUCUUUCACAAUGGGGGAAACCCUGAUGGAGCGACGCCGCGUGGAGGAUACAGUCUUCGGAUUUUAAACUCCUGUCAUGCAAGAGCAAGGCUGUCAAAAGCUUGAUAGUAUUGCAAGAGGAAGAGGCGGCAAACUCUGUGCCAGCAGCCGCGGUAAUACAGAGGCCUCAAGCGUUGUUCGGAAUCACUGGGCGUAAAGGGUGCGUAGGCGGUUUGAUAAGUCAAUUUGUUAAAAUCAUGCGCUC